CGUGAGAGAAGACUGAUAAUGAUGCAAAAAAUUAAGGGCGUGGCUCAAUCAUGUUUUAUCAUUCAAGUUGAUUCAACUUGUUAAAUGGCAGUAGAGAUUGCUCCUAUUGCUGUUCCUCCAGCAGCAGCUCCUCUUCCUCCAGGAAUAAAGGCUCCAAGAAGAGUACAGCCAUUAGACUAUGAGAGGGAGCUAGUCUCAAGAAGGACUGACCUACAAUCAGAGACACACUCUAACCUAUUGAUAUUCCCCCAACAAGACAUAACUAGCGUCUUCUAGUUCAGGAAUCCAUGACAAAAACUAAGUUCCAAUUUGCAUCAAUGCGCAUGCACA